CCCAGAGGUGGGGCAAGAACCUAUAAAACCUGCAAACUGUGUGAAUAAAGGAGAGAAGGAGCCCCGCAGAGUGGCUGCCUGUGCGCCGAACUCCGUGCUCUUCGCGGCCGGGCCAUGGCUGCUGCCACAGGGGGCUUGCAAUGACUGACGAUCUCGAAUGGAGCCAGCGGAACAUCAUCGGACUCGGAGUGGCGGUCUCCUCCUCAGGGUUGAGCAGAACUAAAUUUGAAGGGAGAUGUUGCUGGUCUAUGUAGAUGUCACUUCCAGUUCAAGAAUUCACAGGAAGUUGCACCAGACUCUUGAAUCUUGUGAGCAGACCAAGCGAGAGAUUUCCAGGACCGGACUGGGAAUGUUGAUAGUGUACAGGCUGAUAUGAUAGACUUUGUAUUUUUUUCUCUGACCUUUUUUUUUAUUUUAAACUGCUUGAGACUUGGUUUUGUAGAGAUCCAAAGAUACUGCUUUGCUUGACUUAUAUUAUGCAGAUAUGAAAUUCCUUGGCAACAAUGGUCUUUUUUCCUGGCUGUGGACAGUGAUCUAAUGAUCUUCAUUAUUAUUUGUGACAUCUAAUUUCUAACUACAAUGCUAAAAGUAAACGAAAAUUAAGUAUAAAUAUUCCCUUAAAAAUUAUUUAAACCCCAUUGUUUUAAAAAAGAAAUUAAAAUGGCAUGCAAAUUAUACUUUAGAAAUACUUCAUGUUUCCUGCUUAUGAACUUUAUUUGUGGCAGAGUAGUUUUCACUUCAAAACCAUAUGAAAUGACUGCCUAGAAACACUAAUCCAAUUCUGUUCUGCGUUUGGAAAAUAACAUGUUUUCUAUUUUCUCUCAGACAUUUGCUAAGUGUUUAGAGACCAAUUUAUCUAGACAGUGUGGAAAAGGUCUAAAAAUUGGACAAUUUGUUUUUGUUAUAAAAUGUACUUUCAUUUUUGAGAAAAUGUAACUCAUCUAUGCUUUUCAUGCAUUGCUCAGUUUUGAAUGGAGGUAAUUAAGGUGCUGUAAUAAAAUAACUCUUUGCUGCUCUACAUUAAAAAGUUUUUUCAUUUAUGGCAAAAGUCAGCUUGCAAAAUUGAAAUGAAGUCUAACAGUCCAGUUCGUCUUAAGAUCAGUAUAACUUCAUUGUCUUCAGUGGAAAUAGUCUUGAAUUACUGUAAGGGUUCUGGUUCUAACUUUCAUUGAUUAAAAAAUUUGGACAAAUUUAAA